rnacentral:rRNA from 1 species
UACGGAGGGGGCUAGCGUUGUUCGGAAUUACUGGGCGUAAAGCGCGCGUAGGCGGACCUGCAAGUCGGGGGUGAAAGCCCGAGGCUCAACCUCGGAACUGCCUUCGAUACUGCGGGUCUCGAGUCCGGGAGAGGUGAGUGGAAUUCCUAGUGUAGAGGUGAAAUCCGUAGAUAUUAGGAAGAACACCAGUGGCGAAGGCGGCUCACUGGCCCGGUACUGACGCUGAGGCGCGAAAGCGUGGGGAGCAAACAGG